GCUCGCGUGCGUGCUCCAAGCCUCCAACAAAGUUCACCAAAAAGAAUGAGGUUACGUUCAGUUCAAUCAGCAACGUACAGCUUUUCUCUGGACAAUUCUAGCGCGAGAGUUGUUCGUCAAACGUGUGGCUCAUUGUUUUCUGUUGUUCAUCGAGGCCACAGUGACAGCUUUCAGCCUAUCACGAGUCAGAAGCGUACGAUCCCGGAUACAGAACAAAGCAUAACCUAUUGGUGAUGGCUGAGCCACGCGACAGGGUGUUGUGCCGUGUACGCGAUAUGACGACCUGCAUAUGCACUUCAGCACUGGUCUUCUAGCCAUGCUGCUUGCUCGUGUGCGGCGCCUGCUUCUCUACUCCUCUGCUCAUCUUUCUCGUUGCUGCAUGUGAUCCGUGCGUUCAUAAUGGGGGAGGGCUCUGUGCAAUGGGAUAGAAUGCCUUGUCCACAUUCGGCAAGCUUCUACGAAAUGUGCACAGAAGAUGGGGCCCCACCGACGCUUGCUUUGUACCCCAUUGACAGUGUAUAUUCCGACCUCGAGGUCAUCCAACGGAAACACACGGAAGCCCUCUAAAGGGAAAAGGAGUACCGUGUGUCUGACCGUCUGUCCAUCAUUCCGGGAAGGGUUUUGCGCAAUCUGCUCCAAGACCGAGCAAGCUGUUGAAGUAUGGAAAGAAUGUAACCUCGGAGCAUCAAGCAAAGAUAAUGAAGCUGGACUCUGAUAAGAAAUUUCAGAACACCAACGACAUUGCUUGCCAUUCGUGAACAUGAUUUUUACUGUUUAGAAUAAAGUGGGUUUCUCC